GUACAAUUUGCAGUUAAUAUGCUUAAAACACUAAUUUGAAUAGUAGGGAAAUUUGCAGCUUCAACUGAAUGUUGGCGAGCUUGUGACUUUUUCGUGCAUGCAUUAAUAUUUAUAAAAAUAUUGAUUUUAUUUUUUUUCCUCUUAUAAGCAAAUCAAUUAACUAAAUAUCGGUAAACGUAACAUAAAAUGAUUUAGGAGAGCAAUAUUUUUAAAACAAUAAGUAAAUUUCUUACCUUCGGGACAGUGUUUGCCUUAACCUCAUUUCGGUUAAAAAUGUUUUGUUUACGUAUCAUAACAUUUGUUAAAAUGCAUAACAUGUAACAUAUUUUUGGAUUAUAUUAAAUUGCUGCAUUUAUUAAUGUCCAAGAAACAAUUUUUGUUCUAGUAGAAUCACGUUGAUUGAAGUUAAGGUUAGGAUUUUCGUAGGUACCUACCGAAUUGCAUUACAAAUCGCAAACAAAACUAAUGCAUAAAAAAAACGUGCAGAAGUAUUUAAUCAUUAACACAGGCAAUGUGUAUUUCUGGCAAAUUUAACUGCAUAAGUUGUACAAUUUUCCCACAAAAAACUGAAAUGAAGCUGUUACCAAUGGCAUAAAUUAUUUAUGGAUUAGGUGAAAGUACAAAUCAUUACCGUAUCUUCACUUCUUGAAGACAGGUGUAUAGCAAAUUGUUAAGGAGAAAAAACCUUAAUUUCAACAUAAAAAUUUAAAAGACACUUCAUUUUAUCGCAACCCUCACCUCGGUAAUUGUUCCGUAUCACGUAUCCACGUUUAUCCCUUGAUCCUGUUGGAAUGAUCAUGUAUGAUUUAUCCGGUGGCACAUGAUGCUUGCUGUUUUAAUUAAUAUUAAAACAACAAUAAUCAUUACCACAGGAUAAUGCCAUUAGUAUCAAGGGAUAGACUUGGAUACGCAAUACAAAAUUUUUACCCACACCUUCCUCUCGACCUAAAAAUAAAAUUCAUACAAAACAUUUAGACUAAUUAAAGUACAUAAGUAGCAAGUUUGAGGAGAAUUUGAGACUCAUUGACGUUUAGAACAGUACCUAGGUAUUAAUGUAUUGUGUGCUUGUCCUCAACGUGCGACUACACACAGCCUAAAAAGAGGAAAUUCUGUAGGGCAUGAAAACAAAAUGCUCAUCACUAUUUUAAUUACACAAAACUUUUAUUUUGUUUCGUUUUAAUAAUUUACACACACCUAGUUUCGUCAAGCGGAAACUUAAAGUAAAGUUAAUUAUUAUUAUCUCUUCUCUUGUUGUACCAGUAGUUAACACAACACGUAGCCGAAUCAGGCAUGUUUCAUAAAGCCUACUACACACGGGACUCUUUUGUGAGCAGAAAGGUGUACACUUUCUUGCUUACCUCGACUAGUAGCCAAAUCGUGUCGUGUGAACACCCGACUCGCAUGCGCGCGACUCGCAUAAUCUGAAGUGUAUACUAGCUAGUAUCAACGAGCAUACAAUCGAUUAGAGCAGGUACUAUUUUUCGCUCUCUUUAGUGAGCGAGUCAAAUGUAAAUAAACAAUACUAUUGCGCGCGCGAAUGUUUUUAAUGUAAACAAACAUUGUUAUUGCUGGUAUUUGGUAUGGAUUAUUAAAUAGUCUCUAAGCACAUAAAUAUCAUAAAUAAUAAUACAAACAGUUGUGAGUGUGUGUAACUGGUAAGUGUUUGUAGUGAAAUGUCGGACUGGACGAAAGAAGCAGUGGAAUAUUUAAUUGAGACCUACAAAAAGCACGAAGUUCUGUAUAAUAGCAAACUUCCGGGAUAUCUGAAUAAACACUCCAGAAAAUAUGCUUUAGAAAAAAUAGUUGUUGAGGUUAAGAAGGUGCGCCCUCAAAAAACAGUGGACGAUGUAAAAAAAAAAUUUCUUUCAUUGCGGACUCACUAUGGUCAUGAGCUUCAAAAAUUACAGCAAAGUCAACGAAGUGGUGCUGCAGCUGACAGUGUUUACAGACCUACAGUAUGGUGGUUUCCUCUGAUGGGUUUCGUGAAAGACCACAUCCAGGCCAGAAAAGGAGAGUCAACAAUGCCUUCUUCGUUGCAAUGUGGAGAGCCAGCAUCAGCGAAUGUAUCUGGAACACUGCUGACUGUAGAGGAUGAAGAAACACAGAUUUUUUCACAAUAAUUGCCUGCCAGUGAUCUCACCCACGAACAGUCUAUUCCAGUAGAUCACGAAGAAACAAUUGAUGUGUGCAUGCAAGAGGUUCCAGAUGAAGGGACAGUUACUGCCUAUGAUUUGUCGCCUGCCCCUUCCGGUUCAUCUAGUAUAAAUUCUGGACCAAGUAGGAAGAGAAGGAAAGUGAAUAGCGACAUGGCACCACUUUUUGAAAAAGCAGAUACAAUAUUGAAUACUGUGCAGUCCAGACUUGGCUCCCAGUCACGCUCAGAAUCCGGCACACAAUUGUUUGUCAGAUUUUUGGCUGAACAGCUUGAAAAGAUUCACGAUGAAGAGUUAAGGCUGGUAACACAACACAAAUUGCAAACAGUUGUGAUGGAAGCGCAACUACAAGAUAUGCGGAAACGCCGACCAACGAACAAUAUAACCUAUCCCGAAUAUUAAAUAAUUUUGUUAAGAAAAGUGUGCAAGAUAAAUGUAACAUAUUUGUUUGUAUUUUAAAUUGUUUUUAUUUUCA